rnacentral:tRNA from 1 species
UCCCUGAUAGCUUAGUUGGUAAAGAAUCCGCCUGCAAUGCGGGAGACCCCUGUUCAAUUCCUGGGUCAGGAA